rnacentral:tRNA from 1 species
UCCGACGUAGCUCAAUGGUAGAGCAAUCGGCUGUUAACCGGUUGGUUGCUGGUUCGAGUCCAGCCGUCGGAG